CACUGAAGUGGACCGUUUAAACGCACUCAGCACACCAAGCGGUUGACGUUUGUGACAGCGGACGAAGUGGUUGUUUGUUGUUUUUUUUUCGCCCAACGAGUGACGAGCACUGUUAUGACAGGCGAAAUAGUUACAUUUGCGAUCGGAAUGAUCGUUUGCGUGCCGUUUUCGGGGGACGAGUUAAGCGACGAGACGCCAAAACUGCCAAACAUGAGUGCUUCAACGAGCAAUGAGGGAAAGAGGAAACCGAUGUCACACCGAUUGUCGCCCAUAAGCGCACAAGUUGGCGUUUCCACGGAAACCGCGACUAUUUACGGUGCUGGCAUGUCAAGGUGUCACAAAAGUGAGUUGGCUGUCUCUUUUUGUGUCCUUCUCUGUGUGUAUUGCCACUUCGAAAAAAGCAUUCCCUCGGAGGACACAACCUGGUAGGAGGAACAUUUAAUUAGCGCCAUUACACGAUGAAAGCGAAAACAGCACGAGCGCUGGUAGGAAACAGCUGCACACCAAGGAAAAUGCACCAACCCCCGGGGGACAACUGACAAGCGUCAAACUGCACCAAACAACGCACCAAUGCACCACGGGGAGUAUGAGCCAGUAUGUGUGUGUUUAAGCGCUGAGCGUUUACUUUUUAUAAUUGCCACCAGACAAACGGAACGUUUUAAAUUACGCGAUGCGGUUUUUCGUUGCACGCUGGUGCCAUGUGCCCUCGAUCAAACAAACACACACGGUGCGGUUUGUUCAGUAUUUUUUGUCCCCCUCAGGAAACCUACCGGGUGGUGUAGGAGAUCCAAUAAAAAAUAUGAAAUCAAAUAAGGAACAUUUGAAGAGUGGUCCGCUAGAGCGUCUUUGCAGCUUGCAGCGUUGCUUGAAGAAAAGAGCAUUGAGCGUUGUUCUUUGCUUCUUGCUGAAACACAACCUCAACAACCUAUUGUCCUAUUGGCUACUUCAUCUUCGGCCAUGCUUCAUGAGUGAAGAAUUUCCACUAGAAACAUGGCGUCCAUAAAACAGGGCACAAUUCCGCUAAACACAUCAAUAUCUCAUCGAUUGUGGCUUAGACGAAUGAAUCAAGCAUUGCUUUACGGGGCUUGCCGCAUCUUGCAUGUGCUGCCAAUUGGAUGCUUCAGAUCUCUUUUUUCUAUAGGUAGAGCCAUCCACUCAUACCCUCGGUGGAGACAAUGAAUGUAAGAACGUCCUCACUGUAGCCUCUUAGAGAAGAAGUGGAUGCUCCAAACAGAAAAAAAAACACGAAAAUACGCCGAUGGUGAUUGUCAUCGGCGAAAAAUGGCUUCCCUUUUACUGCUCAAUUUGUUGUGGGAUCGGUGGCAUUUCGCUUUUUUGUGUGUGUUUCGUAGCGUUAUGGGGCUUGAUUCUUGAUGGAUUUGGGGGCAUAUUUGUUGGCGAUUUUGGUUCAAUGCUGGUGAAGCUUUAAUCAUCUUAGGGUGUAAGGAAAAGAUUUGUCAGAUGAGAGGAGAAUGUAGAACCUGAAGCGAUGCAUACCUCAUUUUUGUUAAAGACACACAAAAUUGGAGACCUCCAGAAACCAUGUAAAUUUACCAAAAAUAUUUUAAGCUUCACUUAAACUCUAAUGGCCAAGCACUGCAAGUCAUGUUAUAUUUAACUUAACACCAUAUAUAAUAUUUUCCUUUACUCUAAUAUCUCGUGGCACUGAUAUUUACGAUUACUUUCCAUAACUCAACUAGAAUCCACAGGC